rnacentral:rRNA from 1 species
AGGACGAACGCUGGCGGCGUGCUUAACACAUGCAAGUCGAGCGGUAAGGCUCCUUCGGGAGUACACGAGCGGCGAACGGGUGAGUAACACGUGAGUAACCUGCCCUAGGCUUUGGGAUAACCCUCGGAAACGGGGGCUAAUACCGGAUAUUCACUGCUGAUCGCAUGGUUGGUGGUGGAAAGUUUUUCGGUCUGGGAUGGGCUCGCGGCCUAUCAGCUUGUUGGUGGGUGAUGGCCUACCAAGGCGACG